rnacentral:rRNA from 1 species
GACGUAGGGGACGAGCGUUGUCCGGAUUCAUUGGGCGUAAAGCGCGCGUAGGCGGCCACGCAAGUCGGGUGUGAAAUCCCCGGGCUUAACCUGGGAACUGCAUUUGUGACUGCAUGGCUAGAGUGCGGCAGAGGGGGAUGGAAUUCCGCGUGUAGCAGUGAAAUGCGUAGAUAUGCGGAGGAACACCGAUGGCGAAGGCAAUCCCCUGGGCCUGCACUGACGCUCAUGCACGAAAGCGUGGGGAGCAAACAGG